rnacentral:rRNA from 1 species
CGAAGGGUGCUAGCGUUGUUCGGAAUCACUGGGCGUAAAGCGCGCGUAGGCGGCUUUUCAAGUCAGGGGUGAAAUCCCACAGCUCAACUGUGGAACUGCCUUUGAAACUGUAAAGCUAGAGUGUCGGAGGGGAUAGCGGAAUUGCUAAUGUAGAGGUGAAAUUCGUAGAUAUUAGCAGGAACACCGGUGGCGAAGGCGGCUAUCUGGACGACAACUGACGCUGAGGCGCGAAAGCGUGGGGAUCAAACAGGAUUAGAUACCCUGGUAGUCCACGCUGUAAACGAUGGAUGCUAGCCGUUCGGGGGUUACCCCUGAGUGGCGCAGCUAACGCGUUAAGCAUCCCGCCUGGGGAGUACGGUCGCAAGAUUA